AAGACUGCGUGCUGUUUUUUUGCCAGUGCUCUUAAUUAUUAUUUAGGAUAUACCUGUAAGUGACUCUGUGAAGUGGGCUUGGUAAUUUUCAAAUAAACUGGCUCAUUUCUUAGCUGCUUUGCUGCUUCGCCUCCAUCCGGCUGGCUCAUCGCCAUCUGAUGGCCUCAGCCUCCAGCAGCAGCGCCCGCUCUCUGUUCGCCGAAUCGCGCACCAAACUGGUCGAACGCGUGGCCGGGAACGUGGAGGCCUGCGGGUCCGUGUGUCGACAGGUGGUGCGAGGCUCCAGGUCACACGAGACACUGCUGGCGGCAGCGCGCGCCACUGCUGCUCAGGAGUCAGCCAUCGACCACACGUGCGGAACAGUUCAGAAGUUACGCAUUCUCGCCACUCACCUGGGCUACCAGUGGGAGUCGAUCGCUCGCUCCGCUCACCAGAUUCCGCCGCUGGCUGAGCAGGCGAGGGCACUGCCGCCGCCCAACUGAGCAGACGAGGGCACUCCCGCCGCCCAACUGAGCAGGCGAGGGCACUCCCGCCGCCCAACUGAGCAGGCGAGGGCACUGCCACCGCCCAACUGAGCAGGCGAGGGCACUGCCACCGCCCAACUGAGCAGGCGAGGGCACUGCCACCGCCCAACUGAGCAGGCGAGGGCACUCCCACCGCCCAACUAAGGAGUGAGGGCACUCCCGCCGCUGGCUGAGCAGGUGAGGGCACUGCCGCCGCCCAACUGAGGAGUGAGGGCACUCCCACCGCCCAACUGAGGGGUGAGGGCACUCCGCCGCCCAACUGAGCAGGCGAGGGCACUCCCGCCACCCAACUGAGCAGGCGAGGGCACUCCCGCCGCCCAACUGAGCAGGCGAGGGCACUCCCACCUACCUCCUAACUGAGGCACUCGUACGGACUUUACGGAACGACUUUUACGACGACGGUUAGAGCCGUUCUCUCUUCACACCACAAUGCAGCUAACUGUCGAGUUCAGUGGCGGUGCCGAGCUCCUCUUCGGGAACGUCAAACAGCACAAAGUGACGCUGCCGGAGCGGGGCGACGGAGACUCGGUGUGGACGAUGGAGGGCCUGCUGCCCUGGCUGAGGGAUAACCUGCUGAAGGAGCGGCCAGAGCUAUUCAUGCAGGGGGAGACGGUUCGUCCAGGGAUCCUGGUUCUGGUGAAUGACGCAGACUGGGAACUUCUCGGUCAGCUGAGCUACGAACUGCAGCCGGAUGACACGGUCGUGUUCAUAUCAACACUUCACGGCGGGUAGUCGCUUCACCCGGGAUGACAGAAGGUAAAGCUGGCCGCACUUGACUCUCCAAGGCGGUAGGGUUAUCAUCCGUGCUGACAGGCAAGUCUGGCCGUAUCAGAGCCCAUAAGGUGGCCAGUUAGUCUGGCCGUUUGGACUGAUAUAGAGCUAGGCUAGCCUCAUUAGACACUUUACGGCGGUUAGCCUAGCCUUCCGUGCAGAAAGAAGAGCCAGGCUGCCUUUGGUCCCACGCUGCGGGCAGACCACUUCGCUUACAGGUCAGGCUUACAUCAUCCAACCCCACAAGUUAACUGGCUUAUCCAGCCUGGAAAGCGCAUUAAACAUUAUGGAGAUCUCAAGCCUGUCGGUGUUUUCUUGGCUGAACAAACGCGUUUGGAGAAAACUGGUCCCUGGAAACUUCGGUCGCUCCAUAGACAUUGGUCAGCCUGGUGCUAUGGGAUGGUGCGUGAGUCGUGACUCACUCGUGUCCCGUGGUCUGAACGUGACGGUGGUCGUGUUUUUUGGGGUCACAACGUGUCAUGUAAUUAGUGAGUGCUGAUGUUGUACCGCUUGUUUUAUUGUGGUGGUUUUAUGUAUGGUGUAUGCCUAAUGUUUUGUUUCUGGAAACUUAAAAAAACGACGGUCGAGUAACGCGUCGAAUAAAUCAUGCUUUUUUUACACCUA